GGAAAAAGGAAUCAAUGUGAAAUUGUGCUGCACUGAACCUUUGGAUGAGUCAAGGUCCCAGAGUUUCAAGUGGUGGUUUCAUUCUUUCCAAAAGCAGCUCUGAAGGGAAGCUCCCUGCUCCCAAGGUCUCAGAAUCAAAGUUGCCACUUCGAGAAGCUCGAGUGAUGCUUUCUGUCACAGGCCAGAAAGGAAGUGGAGCUUCUGCUGUGCCUUUUUGUGCAUGAACAUGCAACUGUCUGUAUUUCCUGACUGACACACCUGCAUCAACUCCAGCAUUUCUUCUGUCUUGGUCCAGAAGUCCCUGUGGAUGUCAGGCACUGAACCCAACAGGAUUUGCAUCCUCCUUCCUUCACAGAUCUGAAAAAGUUUUUGAAAUCAGACAAAAGCCUUUCAAACACAAAUGUCCUAGAGGAUCCUUGAUCAGGCUUUCAUGGGUCGCAUUCCACUUCCCCACAAAGCCUUCCCCCCACGAUUUUUGCCCCAUAAUUUUUGAAGAAAUGGUUCAAACCGAGCAGAUACAGCCACCCACGAUGUGCUGGAGAGCUGAGUGCCCAGAGAUCCAGCUGGAUCACAGUGGAACAAAGCUGGAACAAGGAAAGAGAGGCACUGGAGACCUCCAGAGCUGCACAGCUCCUUCCAUCCAUGCCCAGGAAUUCCAGCAUGGAAACGCCAGGGUUGAGCAAGGUGCAGGUGCUGAGCUCUGCUCUGUUGGGUGCUUUGUGCCUCAGGCACUGAAAUGUGAGAAUGAAAAAGGAGCUAAUCAGAAAACAACAAAAAAACAAUCCAAAAAGUUACAGUUUCCAAUGGCACAUAUGGAAGAGAUUAUAGCAGCGUCAUUCUCAUUGCGUUCUUCAAUAAAAAGUAAUUUCUUCUUAUAAACUUAAUAUUCACUGAAAAAGAUUCUGAAGACCUGGCCAGGAAUGUCACAAAGUUUUAGAGGAAGUAUUAAUAAUUUUAUUACAAUCCAUUUUCAAUG